rnacentral:tRNA from 1 species
GGGAUGUGGCUCUGUAGAUAGAGUACUUGCCUAGCAUGUAUGAGUCCCUGGGUUCAAUCCCUAGCACCACCA